GCCUCAUAUGGUGUAGGGGUUUGUGCACUGGACUACAACUCUGGAGACCAGGGUUCAAAUCCCUGCUCAGCCA